GACGAACGCUGGCGGCGUGCUUAACACAUGCAAGUCGAACGGAAAGGCCCUGCUUGCGGGGUGCUCGAGUGGCGAACGGGCGAGUAACACGCGGGUGGACUGCCCCUUACUUUGGGAGAAGCCUGUUAAACUGGGUCUAAUACUGGAUAGGACCAUUCUGUAGGUGGUGGGGUGGAAAGAUUAGUUCCGGUUAGGGAUGAGCUCGCGGCCGAUCAGCUUGUUGGUGGGGUAAUGGCCUACCAAGGCGUCGACGGGUGGCCGGCCUGAGGGGGUGGGCGGCCGGAUUGAGACUGCGAUGCGGCGCAGCAUCAUACAGGAGGCAGCAGUGGGGAAUAGUGCGACAUGGGCGCAAGGCUGAUGUAGCGACGCCGCGUGGGUGAUGACGGCCUUCGGGUUGUAAAGAACAUACAGCCAAGACGAAGCGCUUGUGGUGACGGUAGUGGUAGAAAAAGCACCGGCUAACUACGUG
rnacentral:rRNA from 1 species